UCUGGUCCGGUUCGAGUUUCCAAACAUCUUUAGCACAAGGGCUCGGUCCUCUUUAUUCCCCAUUCGGCGGCUCCGAUCCAAACAAAGCCAAAUCCUAAUACUCUAAACCCUAACCCCAGAAUCCAACACCCUGCACCACGAACGAGAACCCUAACGCUGCCGUCCACAAGCCUAAGGCCGAUUCGAGAUGCUUUUACUUGGGAAUUUGGAUUUCUGUACCGUGAUGUCUGCUGAGCUUAACAUAGGUGGACGAAGAUUUCUUGCUUAGAUUUAUAAUCACGUUUCAAGAGAUUGGCCUGCAAGAUUUUCCAAAUUUAAUUUCAUAAAAAUAUUGACUUGCUGUGUUGAAGGGCAACCUCGGGGGGCGAUCACGGCAACCAUUAUGAGAGCUUCUAGCUCUUCCUCUGUAUUUUAACUCUGUUGCUGGGGCAAGAUCAAGGGAAAACCGAGGGGUUGGGUUUCUGGAGUUCUUGUCCUGGCUGUUGUAGGUUGGUGAAUUGUUUUUGGUUCGUCAUCUAUUCUUGGUUAUCUUCAUUAAAAAAUUUGUACUUUUUAUAGUAUCUGGCAUGUUACAGUUGAUGCAACCAUCAAACAUCAGUCCUUUUGUUAUGGGAUCUGGAACAGGAAAUGCUUAAUGAAACAGAAGCAGGAAUUGAGUGAUUGAAAUAUUCG